GACGUAGGGCGCGAGCGUUGUCCGGAUUUAUUGGGCGUAAAGAGCUCGUAGGCGGCUUGUCGCGUCGUCUGUGAAAUCCCGCGGCUCAACUGCGGGUCUGCAGUCGAUACGGGCAGGCUAGAGUUCGGUAGGGGAGACUGGAAUUCCUGGUGUAGCGGUGAAAUGCGCAGAUAUCAGGAGGAACACCGGUGGCGAAGGCGGGUCUCUGGGCCGAUAUUGACGCUGAGGAGCGAAAGCGUGGGUAGCAAACAGG
rnacentral:rRNA from 1 species